UUUCGUGGCUUAAUAAGGAGUAGCCACAACUUUCAAUUGCUGUCAACUUCUCAAACCUUCUUGGACAAAUUAAAACCCCAAUUUCCUUCUUCUCUCAAAAACGAUCCAUUGUUACCCCAUUGUCUCUCAAACUCAUUCCUCUCGCCUGAAUCUCUUGGCGACCACGGUUGAUAUUGUCGCCGCCAUUCUCGCGCAUGCUUCUCUAAUGGUAUUGUUGGAUUUUCUCUCUCUUCUAAAUUUUGUUGAUGUGGUUCGAUGUUACUGUUGUUGGUUGUUCUUGAAGUCAAAUUUUCUCUCUCCAAUGUUAUUUUCUUUUUCUUCUGCGUCGGUGCUGCUGUCGUCAGUGUUCGACCGCAAUUUCGGCACCGUCGAUGCUACUGUAUUCCGGUUCUCUUUGCCGACGAGUUACUCGUCGUCGUUGCGUCGCCUGCUUCGUUAGCAAUGAUGGCGAUUUUUUUUCUCUCCCUUGUAUGGAUUCUGGUGGCUCUAAUUGUUGCAGCCGCUGUUGUUGUGGUUCGACCACCACCGGUGGUACCGUGUUAUUGUUGUUGACUGAAUUUCUUUAGAAAGGUAUAAGUUUUGCGUUUCAGUUGUGAAUUUUAUUUCAUCAAAUUGCAAUCUGAUUUAUAUGUUGUUAAUGGUUAAUGAUUUUCGCAAGUAUCAUUGAACUUGUUAUUGAUUUCCAAAAAAAUCAAUUGAGAUAAUAGUUUAAGUAAGUCCAAGAUUGAAUCUUUUGCUUUUAUUAAAGGUAUAAGCAGAUUUCCUUCUCUCUUUUCAAUUAAUGUAGUUAGGCCAAUUUGGUAGAGAGUAAAUUAAAUUAUUUUUGUAAAGAACUUGGUUUUGAUUAUAAGUUCAGGAAUUUUUUUUUUGUUUCAAUUCGUUCGAUAUAUCAGUAUUGAAAUCCAUGAUUGUGAGUAUGCCAAGUUAGUUGACCAGUAAGGCUAAGGAAUCAAGAUUAUAGUUGCAAGCUAGUUACUCUCAAAUAUAUAAGAUUCUAUUAUAUUUAUCAUGAUACGAACAAUAUUAGUAAUGGGUUGUGAGCCAUGAAUUGGUCCUUGGGUUAUAGGAUUCCAGUUAAUUAAGCAAAGGAAUUUAUGUUUGCAAGUUUAGUUUGAGUGUAUGCUCUAUUUGAGAAUAGUUACUAAUGAUAAUUAUUGUGUUAUGGUAAAUCGUUGUGGAGUUCAUAUAUCGAUUGGUAUGCAAAGAUGAUGUACUAAUGGGGCUAUAUGCGAAGUUGAGUAAAGGAACCUGUCCUGGUGGGGGCAGGGUUCAUUGUUAGUGAUCCUGCUGGUUCGGAUGUGGAAAGCUCGGAAUGGAGUAAAAGGAAGAAUCAGUUAUCAAGGUUAUAAUUAGAUAUAAUGGCUCAGAAGUUGUAUUUAGGAUUAUAUAUCUUUAUUUGUGAAUAAAUUAUUAUAUUACUUUGGAAGUUGAGCAAUGUAUUAUGUAAUAUGUUAUUUGGUUUUUGA